rnacentral:rRNA from 1 species
AGAGUUUGAUCCUGGCUCAGAUUGAACGCUGGCGGUAUGCUUUACACAUGCAAGUCGAACGGCAGCACGGGGCAACCUGGUGGCGAGUGGCGAACGGGUGAGUAACAUAUCGGAACAUAUCCGGAAGUGGGGGAUAACGUACCGAAAGGUACGCUAAUACCGCAUAUGCCCCGAGGGGGAAAGGGGGGGAUCGCAAGACCUCUCGCUUUCGGAGUGGCCGAUAUCGGAUUAGCUAGAUGGUGGGGUAAAGGCCCACCAUGGCGACGAUCCGUAGCUGGUCUGAGAGGACGACCAGCCACACUGGAACUGAGACACGGUCCAGACUCCUACGGGAGGCAGCAGUGGGGAAUUUUGGACAAUGGGCGCAAGCCUGAUCCAGCCAUACCGCGUGAGUGAAGAAGGCCUUCGGGUUGUAAAGCUCUUUCAGCCGGAAAGAAACGGCCACGGCUAAUAACCGUGGCUAAUGACGGUACCGGAAGAAGAAGCACCGGCUAACUACGUGCCAGCAGCCGCGGUAAUACGUAGGGUGCGAGCGUUAAUCGGAAUUACUGGGCGUACAGCGUGCGCAGGCGGUUUUGUAAGACAGACGUGAAAUCCCCGGGCUUAACCUGGGAACUGCGUUUGUGACUGCAAGGCUAGAGUGUAGCAGAGGGGGGUAGAAUUCCGCGUGUAGCAGUGAAAUGCGUAGAUAUGUGGAGGAAUACCGAUGGCGAAGGCAGCCCCCUGGGCUAACACUGACGCUCAUGCACGAAAGCGUGGGGAGCAAACAGGAUUAGAUACCCUGGUAGUCCACGCCCUAAACGAUGUCAACUAGGUGUUGGGGAACGGAGACUUCUUUAGUACCGCAGCUAACGCGUGAAGUUGACCGCCUGGGGAGUACGGUCGCAAGAUUAAAACUCAAAGGAAUUGACGGGGACCCGCACAAGCGGUGGAUUAUGUGGAUUAAUUCGAUGCAACGCGAAAAACCUUACCUACCCUUGACAUGCCAGGAAGAUCGCAGAGAUGUGAUUGUGCCCGAAAGGGAACCUGGACACAGGUGCUGCAUGGCUGUCGUCAGCUCGUGUCGUGAGAUGUUGGGUUAAGUCCCGCAACGAGCGCAACCCUUGCCAAUAAUUGCCACCAUUCAGUUGGGCACUUUAUUGGGACUGCCGGUGAUAAACCGGAGGAAGGUGGGGAUGACGUCAAGUCCUCAUGGCCCUUAUGGGUAGGGCUUCACACGUAAUACAAUGGUCGGUACAGAGGGUUGCCAACCCGCGAGGGGGAGCCAAUCCCAGAAAGCCGAUCGUAGUCCGGAUUGUAGUCUGCAACUCGACUACAUGAAGUCGGAAUCGCUAGUAAUCGCGGAUCAGCAUGUCGCGGUGAAUACGUUCCCGGGUCUUGUACACACCGCCCGUCACACCAUGGGAGUGGAAUCUGGCAGAAGUAGGUAGCCUAACCGCAAGGGGGGCGCUUACCACGCUGGGUUUCAUGACUGGGGUGAAGUCGUAACAAGGUAACC